rnacentral:misc_RNA from 1 species
ACCGACGACAACGACUACGGCGUCAAGCUGCGCAACGCGACGCGCUUCCUGGAGGAUGGCGACAGGGUAAAGGUGACCUUGCGUUUCCGCGGCCGCGAAAUGGCUCACCAGGAACUCGGCAUGCGCGUGCUGGAGCGUAUCAAGUCUGACCUGGAGGAAUUCGGUCAGGUUGAGCAGAUGCCGAAGAUGGAAGGUCGCCAGGCAGUGAUGAUGUUGGCGCCCAAGAAGAAAAAGUAAUGCAGUGGCGGCCGGGCGAUUCCGGCCGCGCUGAGCAGGUUCCAGACGGAAACGUCGGAAAACGCGGCAGGUGUCAAAGCUUGCCGC